AGCAUUGAUCCCGGGGAGUGCGAAGCCCAGAUGUCAGACACUGAUAGGACCACCACUACAGCAGUAGACAGCCUUCACGGAUACAUGCGGGUUCUCCUGAUGAGCUGUGACUUGGUGGUGGAGAUGGCAAUGUACUUACAACUAUCAGCAGAGUGUAUCAGCCAGAGCGGCCAGCGAUUUAGUCUGGUCUUCACACCAUUCCCUUCUUGUAAUGAGUCUGCUCAUCUUUCAAGGAUGUACAACUAAUGGAAGGAGGUUUCUGAAACACAUGCAAGAAGAUUUAAAGGUAAAGUAUGAAGGUACAAGGUAUUCAUGGUAAUGAUUCUGCAACAUAUGCAAUGCUUGUAAUCUCUAAGACACUGUAAAGGGAUCAAAGAUUACCUGAGAGACAGAUAGCCAGCAGCUCUAAACAAGCUGAAUACAGGUUCACAAUAUAACAACAAGAUCCGACCUUUGUUUCAUUAGUUGUAUUACAGUGGUGUUGUGAAGGCUAGUCCUCUCCAACAUAGUUUGACAUCAAUCAGUAGCCUGUCAUGAACCUAAUCCAUCAUGAUCAUGUCAGUUGGGAUGUUUUUCUACUUGAGCAAGCAAACCUUAUAACUGUGGUCUGAACAUUCUGUAUUCAGAGAGUGGCAUGUUGUCACUUUCACAAGUAACCAGGCAACUAGUCAAGUGGACUACUCCUUCAGAGAGAGGGACAGAAGCAACUGAAACACUGACAGCAAAAACAGGUAAAAGUGGAAUACACUUCCAAGGACAAACACAACUGGUGCGACUGAUGGGACAUGGUGAAGCCAAAAACCUUGAUAUGAAGCGAUCGAUCACCAACAAAUAUACAAUGCACAUUGAAGGAUACAGAUUGGCUGCAGGAAGAACAUAUCAAAUAAAUCAACAAGCAAAAUUAUUUAGAGACCAUGACAGCUUGUAAAAGAGCCGGAAAGAAAGGCAAGCUCAGAGUGGCUGAAGGGGUCGUUGUCGGCAUGGGUACUACAGAUAUGCAGUGGAAA